UUGGGAGGCGGGCAAACCCUGUUUGGCAGGCAAGACUCUUCCUCCUUCCUGGCCCUCAUUUUGAUAUUCUUCCUUCUACAGCUGAUCUGCAGAAGUUUUCCAGUCUUGGAUUAGGCAGACCAGCACAUGAGUCAGAAAAUUCUAAAAUAGAAUUGAAUUGGUCACUGCCUGACCUAAAUAAUUUCAUUUGCCAAUGUUAUCCCCUAAUCAGUCUAAAUUUGAUUGGGUUUGACUUGGCAAAGGCAGGCAAGGGGCGCAAGCUUCAAAAGCUACAGGCUGGCUCUGUGAGAGAGCUUAAAAUAUCUGUUGGAAAAAGCAGGCUCUACAUAUUGCCGCAUGUGGAAGUAAUGGAGAUUACAUCAACUACUCAGAUGGGCCAAGCCUCAUUGUUCUCUUCUUCCACCAGUCAGACACAGGUGUCUGAUGAAAAUGUAGUGUCACAUCAG